rnacentral:rRNA from 1 species
GAAGCUUGCUUCUCUUGAGAGCGGCGGACGGGUGAGUAAUGCCUAGGAAUCUGCCUGGUAGUGGGGGAUAACGUUCGGAAACGGACGCUAAUACCGCAUACGUCCUACGGGAGAAAGCAGGGGACCUUCGGGCCUUGCGCUAUCAGAUGAGCCUAGGUCGGAUUAGCUAGUUGGUGAGGUAAUGGCUCACCAAGGCGACGAUCCGUAACUGGUCUGAGAGGAUGAUCAGUCACACUGGAACUGAGACACGGUCCAGACUCCUACGGGAGGCAGCAGUGGGGAAUAUUGGACAAUGGGCGAAAGCCUGAUCCAGCCAUGCCGCGUGUGUGAAGAAGGUCUUCGGAUUGUAAAGCACUUUAAGUUGGGAGGAAGGGCAGUUACCUAAUACGUGAUUGUUUUGACGUUACCGACAGAAUAAGCACCGGCUAACUCUGUGCCAGCAGCCGCGGUAAUACAGAGGGUGCAAGCGUUAAUCGGAAUUACUGGGCGUAAAGCGCGCGUAGGUGGUUAGUUAAGUUGGAUGUGAAAUCCCCGGGCUCAACCUGGGAACUGCAUUCAAAACUGACUGACUAGAGUAUGGUAGAGGGUGGUGGAAUUUCCUGUGUAGCGGUGAAAUGCGUAGAUAUAGGAAGGAACACCAGUGGCGAAGGCGACCACCUGGACUGAUACUGACACUGAGGUGCGAAAGCGUGGGGAGCAAACAGGAUUAGAUACCCUGGUAGUCCACGCCGUAAACGAUGUCAACUAGCCGUUGGGAGCCUUGAGCUCUUAGUGGCGCAGCUAACGCAUUAAGUUGAUCGCCUGGCGAGUACGGCCGCAAGGUUAAAACUCAAAUGAAUUGACGGGUGCCCGUACACCC